UUUAGGGCAUCGGCAUGGAGAGGUGUUCGUGAGAGGGAGGUUUUUGGUUGGGGGUCUUGAGCAUCGCCCGCCCAUCAUCCACCGGAUCCCCCGAGAGAUGAAGCUGAAGCAGCUCGAGGGCCUCCUCGGCACGCUCCAACAAUUCGCCCACCCAAAGGUGGAACUGGAGCAGUAUCCGACAGGACCACACAUUGCGUCCCGGUUGCUGUAUACGGCCGAAAAUACAUUUGGUGAUAUAAGUGGCAAGGUCGUGGCUGACUUCGGUUGUGGCUGUGGUACAUUAGGUUUAGCAAGUGCACUUUUGGGUGCAGAGCAGGUUAUUGGCAUUGACAUUGAUCCACAAUCUCUAGAAAUUGCUUCAAUAAAUGCUGCAGAUAUGGAGCUGGACAUAGAUUUCAUCUGGUGUGACGUCAACAAGUUAAGAUGGAGAGAUGAUGUGGUUGACACUGUUGUGAUGAACCCUCCUUUUGGGACUCGGAAAAAAGGAUCUGACAUGGAGUUUCUUGCCAAGGCUUUAAAGGUUGCUUCUCAAGCAGUCUAUUCUUUGCAUAAGACUACAACCAGAGAUUACAUUAAAAGAACAGCUAUUCGAGAUUGCAAUGCUAGAAGCGCCGAUAUUUUAUGUGAGCUCCGGUUUGAUGUGCCACAAAUUUAUAAAUUUCACAAAAAGAAAGAGGUCAAUAUUGCGGUGGAUCUCUGGCGCUUUGUUCCUUAUCCCACUCAAGAAAGUGCAGACAGCUGAGUGACAUGAGACAGCUAACAACUGUUAGAUGCUAUCCUGAUAGUUUACAGUUUGCUUUCCUCAAUGUUGCCACCAGAGCCUCAUCAGCCUGAUGCUGGACAUCAGUGUUGGGAGAAGUGCCUGUGGCAGGGAUUCUGGUGGAACUAUCAUCAAGCAAAUGAGAAUUAAUAAAGGAUGUACACGCAAGCAUACAUAAAUUGCUUUACUUGGAGUGCUUUCUUGUGUUGUAUUCCUAAGUGGAUAAAACAAUCUUGAAUGUAUGAUUUGAAUUAUUUGACUUUUACUGUAUUAUUUGAAUUACCUAUCAAUGUUGGACUACCAUAUGUCAUGCUACAUGGUAGUGACAUUUUCUGA